rnacentral:rRNA from 1 species
CCUAAGGUAGCGAAAUUCCUUGUCGGGUAAGUUCCGACCUGCACGAAUGGCAUAACGAUGGCCACACUGUCUCCUCCCGAGACUCAGUGAAGUUGAAAUGUUUGUGAUGAUGCAAUCUACCCGCGGCUAGACGGAAAGACCCCAUGAACCUUUACUGCAGCUUUGCAUUGAACUGUGAACCGAUUUGUGUAGGAUAGGUGGGAGGCAGAGAAGAGGCCACGCCAGUGGUCUUGGAGCCGACCUUGAAAUACCACCCUGAUUUGUUUGCGGUUCUAACCACGGACAGUGAUCCUGUCUUGGGACCGUGCAUGGUAGGCAGUUUGACUGGGGCGGUCUCCUCCUAAAGGGUAACGGAGGAGUACGAAGGUACGCUAGGUACGGUCGGAAAUCGUGCUGAUAGUGCAAUGGCAAAAGCGUGCUUGACUGCGAGAGCAACAACUCGAGCAGAUGCGAAAGCAGGUCAUAGUGAUCCGGUGGCUCUGAAUGGAAGGGCCAUCGCUCAACGGAUAAAAGGUACUCUGGGGAUAACAGGCUGAUACCGCCCAAGAGUUCAUAUCGACGGCGGUGUUUGGCACCUCGAUGUCGGCUCAUCUCAUCCUGGGGCUGUAGCCGGUCCCAAGGGUAUGGCUGUUCGCCAUUUAAAGAGGUACGUGAGCUGGGUUUAAAACGUCGUGAGACAGUUUGGUCCCUAUCUGCCGUGGGCGUUGGAAGAUUGACGGGGGCUGCUCCUAGUACGAGAGGACCGGAGUGGACGCACCUCUGGUGUACCGGUUGUCACGCCAGUGGCAUUGCCGGGUAGCUAAGUGCGGAAGAGAUAACCGCUGAAAGCAUCUAAGCGGGAAACUUGCCUGAAGAUGAGUCUUCCCGGAGGUUGAACCUCCCUCAAGAGUCGUCCGAGACCAGGACGUCGAUAGGUCAGGUGUGUAAGCGCUGUAAGGCGUUGAGCUAACUGAUACUAAUUGCUCGUGAGGCUUGAUCCU